AGAAUCAACGCUGGCGGCGUGCCUAACACAUGCAAGUCGCACGAGAAAGGGGAGCAAUCCCUGAGUACAGUGGCGCACGGGUGAGUAACACGUGAAUAAUCUACCUCCGAGUGGGGAAUAACUGAGAGAAAUCUUAGCUAAUACCGCAUAACACUUACGAGUCAAAGCAGCAAUGCGCUUGAAGAGGAGUUCGCGGCCGAUUAGUUAGUUGGCGGGGUAAUGGCCCACCAAGACGAUGAUCGGUAUCCGGCCUGAGAGGGCGCACGGACACACUGGAACUGAAACACGGUCCAGACUCCUACGGAGGCAGCAGUGGGGAAUUUUGCGCAAUGGGGGAAACCCUGACGCAGCAACGCCGCGUGGAGGAUGAAAUAUCUUGGUAUGUAAACUCCUUUCGAUGGGGAAGAUUAUGACGGUACCCAUAGAAGAAGCCCCGGCUAACUUCGCGCCAGCAGCCGC
rnacentral:rRNA from 1 species